rnacentral:rRNA from 1 species
CCCUAUUAUUUUGAGUGUUAAUUUAUGUUUUCUAGGUAGUAUUAGGUAUGUUCUUGAAACCUAAAGAAUUUGGCGGUAUUUUAUUCCAAUCAGAGGAAUCUGCCCCGUUAUCGAUAAUCCGCGUUGUACCUUACUUAGUUUAAAUUUGUUUGUAUACCGCCGUAUAUUGAUUAUCAUUUUAGUGUUUUAAUUUUCUUAAUUCUUGAUUAAGUUGUAUUUCAGGUCAAGGUGCAGUUUGUGGCUAAGUGUGAGGUGGAUUACAUUGAUUUUUUGUUAUGUUGGAUUACUUGUUGAAUAUUUAUGUAUGAAAUUGGAUUUGAUUGUAAUGUUUUAAUGAAGGUUGUUUUUAUGAUAAUUGGUUCUAGGAUAUGUACACAUCGCCCGUCGCUCUCGUUAUUUGUUAGUGAGAUAAGUC